rnacentral:rRNA from 1 species
UGGGGAAUUGUUCGCAAUGGGCGCAAGCCUGACGACGCAACGCCGCGUGGAGGACGAAGAUCUUCGGGUCGUAAACUCCUGUCGAGUGGGAAGAAUGGAUCGAGGGUGAAUAAUCCUCGGUAUUGACGGUACCACUAAAGGAAGCCCCGGCUAACUCCGUGCCAGCAGCCGCGGUAAUACGGGGGGGGCAAGCGUUGUUCGGAAUUAUUGGGCGUAAAGAGCUCGUAGGCGGCUUGGCAAGUCGGGUGUGAAACCUCCAGGCUCAACCUGGAGACGCCACUCGAUACUGCCAUGGCUAGAGUCCGGUAGGGGACCACGGAAUUCCUGGUGUAGCGGUGAAAUGCGCAGAUAUCAGGAGGAACACCGGUGGCGAAGGCGGUGGUCUGGGCCGGCACUGACGCUGAGGAGCGAAAGCGUGGGUAGCAAAC